AGCUAAAGUAAACCAUGUGAUCACCCUCGCGCCCGACAGAGUCGCUGUAAUGAAUGCUCGGGAAGUUAUGGAGAGAAAGGAGACGAUCCCAGUGAUUAAUGCCAAAGCCCUGUUGCCUGGGGAGAGGGUGAUGUUUGACUUUCUUGUACAGCUGCAGUUUGUGGGGUGAAGGUGCUCCCACAAUGUGGUUGGAUCCCAGUGAUUAAUGCCAAAGCCCCAUUGCCUGUGGAGAGGGUGAUGUUUGACUUCCUGUACAGCUGCAGUUUGUGUGGUGAAGGUGCUCCCACAAUGUGGUUGGCAAUUUCACACUGUAUGUGAGGGUGAGAAUGAAUUUGUCAAUACAAAUACUCCAACCGAAACCCGCACAGGUCAGGACCUGUUUCUGCUGCUGAUGUCGCUCACAGGGAACAGGAAAAUAAAGGUUCAGUCAUACAUCGUACAAGGACACAGAGGUUACAAUCACCAGGAACGGGUACACAGCUUAAACCUCUUUUCUCAAGAAAUAAAGGACGCUGGAGAGACUGCCUGGUACAAGUAGGAAGCUUUGUGUCUGUAUUUUCAGAGAUUUGAGGUUGAAAUCAUUGGAUUUGAUUCAUGUUUCAUUGCCCCAGGUCAUCAAAGGUGCGAUCUAAAUGUGCAGCUUUCUUUCUGUCUUUUUGUCUGAGUUAACAAUCUGAACCAUCUCCUGGGCAGUUAGAAUGGAUGACAAAUGCUGCCCCAGCAAGUGAUGCCGUGAUCCCAUGAACAAACAAAACAAUCCAAUCGCUGUGGUUAGUUGUGAACUCGCUGGUGUUAUUGGAAGGUUUAUGGGGUAAAGGGAGAAGAAUGGCAUUCAGUGAGGUGAUCCUUUGGAGAGCUGAUCAGCCAAUCAGCCUCCUUUUGUACAGUAACAAUUCUGUGAAUAAUUAAUUCUGAGCCCUCUAAGGAAAUAUCAGAGCAGGGUUUGUAAAGAGGUCAGAUUGAAUGAGUGUCUCGGUGAACACAAGUGAGACACAGGUACAGAGAGGC